GCCCUUUAGGGGUUCCAGAUGCUACCAAGAAACCGAAACAAGAAGGUUUUCUGUGCCCUGGACCCAGGUAGAGGUGACAGAGGGAAAUCUGAAGUACCGGUUCUUGCUGAAAGGAUGAAGAAGCAUCUCCAGUUGCCCUUAAGACAUUUUUGAAAUGUACACAUCUGGGACUAAGGAAUGCAGCUGAGAGAUGAAGCCUUGCCUAGCACAUGCAAAGCCCUGAGUCUGGAUAUCCAGCACUGAAAGGAAAAGGGGUUGAAGAAGAGCCCAGUGAACCAUGUAGGCGAAGGAGGAAAACAAGGGGCAUGGAUUUUUAUAAUAGAAAAGGCCUCUUUCUAGACCUAGAAGUUAUCAUCUGUUUUUACCCAAGUGUGCUGAAACUUGGCUGUCCCAUGGCCUAGAGGGUUUUGACAUAUUUACCUAGAGAGCACUACCCAGCCUCUGGCUGAGGGUAGAACCUGGGGCCUGGAGCAUGCUAAGCAGUGCUCUAUCUCUGAGCUACAUCCCUAGCUCCCUUUCUAUUUUUACACUGGCUCCUGAGAAGUUGUCCAGCCAGGCCUUGAACUCAUCCUGUAGCCCAAAUAGGUUUCGACCCUGUGGUCUUUCUGCCUCAUUUUCCACAGUGGCUAUGGAUUGAUCAGGCCUGGUUCUUAGCACUUUCUGUCUCAGUGCUGGGAAUCUGAAGAUGAAAAUAAGCCAGAAUGGGUCCAGCCCAGAAUGGAACCGCUUCCAUUUUCUCCUAGGUGUCCUAGUUUCCUGAUGCAGUUAGCCCCCAAAGCCUUAAGAGGCAGCAGUGCUUGUUCAAGACUCCCUGCAGCAGCAUGCCUGACUCCGAGGCAAUCUGUUUCUUCUCUUGAGCUCUGGCUUCUCACCUGUCAAAUGUCCAUCUUAAAUCACACUCUUCCUGCAGAGCCUCCUUGUAAGAUCCCUUCUGUGAUGCAGGGCUGUAAAAGAGGCCAGUCCUGACCCCGAUCUCUUGCAGCACUGAACCCUUCCAGGAGCAAGAGGAAAGCCAAGCCUAAUGCUACAUACACCCUGUCCACACUCUUUGUCUGGUCCUUGGAAGGUUUCCUCUGGGUGACCAGCCUAGCACCUCUGUGUUGGAGUGACAAUCUAAGCAGUAACUGUCUCUCAGCCCUGGAGUCAGAGCAAGACAAUAGCAUAGUUGGGUCCUUCCUUCUGGGCUCUCCUAGGGAGAUGAUUUCCCCUCCCGGAUUCCUGGUGUGUGUGUGUGUGUGUGUGUGUGUGUGUGUGUGUGUGUGUUGGGGAAUGACUAUGAAGACUCAAAGCUGUUAGAGAUUUAUUUGGUGCCUUUACUUUUUUUGUUGUUGUUUUGGCCAAUUUGGAAAGAAAGAGGCAAUGACUCCUCUUUAUAAAACAAAACUAGGCAGGAAGUGUGCAGGGCCUGAGUGGCAGGGACUAAGGGUGUAAUUACAAGUUUUGUUCAGCAUUUUCAUGUAAUUAAGUCCAAAGGAAAUCGAGCUGCCUGUAUGUUGGGGCUGGAAGGCAAUCGGUGAGGAAUGGAUCUGCUUUUCAGCGAAGAGGCGGACUUCUCACCUUUCUUCUUAUUUUUAUAUUCGUUUUCCAAAAGGUAGCCUAUCAUUCAUCUUUUAUUCGGUGCCAUUGCGCUCUCCUUGGUGACAUUUCCCAGCCGUGCAAAGCCUUCUAGACACUGAUUUGCCUUUCCGCCCACUCUCUCCCCCUUCCCACUUUUACAUAUUGCCGAUUUCUGCCUGGUUGCUCACACAGUAUUCCCGCUGCAACAUUCAUAGCCAGCUUUCUUGCCUCCGGAGUUUCGAUCUCAGCGACUUCCGACUCCGCCAAGCCAAAUAGUCUCUCCUUUUGUUUUGGCCAGAGUCUGGUUUUCCCCGUUAUGCUUUAUAGUAAGUUCUACAGCGGCUGCCCCACCUCGGCUUUCUUUAACACUGCCUUGGUUUCCCUUUAUCGCAAGUAGAUUCUGCGCACACUCGCUGGGGGAUGGGGUCGUAGCGCCUAGAGCACGGCUUUGCAGAUGGUCCUAAACGGUGGGGCGCACGGGUUUCGUUCUCCUCCCCUCCUUUGAGCCUUCGGUGGCCCAGAGACGUGCCCUGGGCAUUGGGGACUGGCAGCAAGAAAGGAACCACUGUCUACUUACAUUCUUAAGGGCAGGAAACCUGACCCACCCCUAAACCACUGGUCCCGGAGGAGGGGCACUUGCAUUCCUCCAGGAGGGUGGGCCUCGCGUUGGUCCCCCCUCCUCUCACUCCUACCCCCACCUCCGUGCCCGCAGAUUACCUCCCUCAGCCCCCUUCACCUACUCUUCCCAAGAACAGAUUGUUUAUCAGGACGGGCAGCCAAGAAGCCUACUCCUGUUUCUGGCCUCUGCCAAAGAUUAAUCACACUUGGGAACCUCACCAAACUUGACUGUUAGGGCGGGGCAGGGAGAGGGGGAGUAGUUAAAAAGGAAAGACCAAUGAAUUUGACAUUUGACAAGCUGACCAAAUGGGGCUACUGACGCCUCUUUCCUUCUCAACCUAAAGGACCGAAUUGUGUUUCAUUCCCACUCCGCUACCCCACCCCCUCUCUUUCUCUGAGUCCCCCUCUUUCAACUUCGGAUUUGAUGCUUUCAUAGUACUGACUUGCUUUUAAUUCUUAGUAACAUUUUCAGCUGGUGUGUGUGUGUGUGUGUGUGUGUGUGUGUGUGUGUGUGUGUGUGUGUGUUGGGGCCUGGCAAGACACACUCACAAACUGGACUGCCUGACAAAUCCCUUCUUUCCCUUCUUUUCAUCCCUCUCUUUGAAAUGACAUCAAGAUGGACUGGGGAGGGGUGAUGGGGGGGCGAUAAAGGAGAA
rnacentral:lncRNA from 1 species